rnacentral:rRNA from 1 species
AGUGAACGCUGGCGGCAGGCCUAACACAUGCAAGUCGAGCGGCAGCGCGGGGGCAACCCUGGCGGCGAGCGGCGGACGGGUGAGGAAUUCGUCGGAAUCUGCCUCUUUGUGGGGGAUAACGUAGGGAAACUUACGCUAAUACCGCAUACGUCCUACGGGAGAAAGUGGGGGACCGCAAGACCUCACGCAGAAAGAUGAGCCGACGACCGAUUAGCUAGUUGGUGGGGUAAAGGCCCACCAAGGCGACGAUCGGUAGCUGGUCUGUGAGGAUGAUCAGCCACACUAGAACUGAGACACGGCCCAGGCUCCUGCGGGAGGCAGCAGUGGGGAAUGUUGGACAGUGGGCGCGAGCCUGAUCCAGCCAUGCCGCGUGUGUGAAGAAGGCCUUCGGGUUGUAAAGCACUUUUGUCCGGAAAGAAAUCCCUGGAGCUAAUACCUUCGGGGGAUGACGGUACCGGAAGAAUAAGCACCGGCUAACUUCGUG